rnacentral:rRNA from 1 species
GCUUGAGUGGCGAACGGGUGAGUAACACGUGAGUAACCUGCCCUUGACUUUGGGAUAACUUCAGGAAACUGGGGCUAAUACCGGAUAGGAGCUCCUGCUGCAUGGUGGGGGUUGGAAAGUUUCGGCGGUUGGGGAUGGACUCGCGGCUUAUCAGCUUGUUGGUGGGGUAGUGGCUUACCAAGGCUUUGACGGGUAGCCGGCCUGAGAGGGUGACCGGCCACAUUGGGACUGAGAUACGGCCCAG